AAUCACCAGAAAGGGCAAAAUGUGUGUAAAAUCAAUAGAAGAUAUUGCGCAGAUGGGUGGUCCCGCCCCACCUAAACCUGACAAGCCAUACGACCACGACAGUGUGCCAGCCCACCUCAGCCAUCGUCACUCUCUCCCCGGCAAGUAUCAAAAUCACGAUUUCAUUCCCAAUUACUAACUUUGCUUAAUUUUCCGAAGCUGAUGUGCGUCAAUGUGCAGAUAAAAUCCGAGCCAACACGAAGCGUGCUUGGAGCGCCUAGCCAGGGAACAGCCUGCGUGCUCCACAUACUUACAGCUAAUGCUUUCGUUGGGAGUGAUUGUAUGAACCUAGCCGAAUCGGCUUUUAUCCCAUUGAUUGUAUGACGAAGAAACAAUGUUAUUGUUGAACGUAAACCAGACUGCACAGACAUAGAACAAGACCUACCAACAAUCGCGAGGCAGAGGACCGAUAUUUUUGCUGUACCACUUCAUAAAGUUUGACGGGAGUGGAUUGAUCUUCAGACAAUACUUGCUAGUGGUUUAGGACAGGAAGCAGCCGUGUAUAGUAAUGUUUGGGUUGUAGCGCCGAAUGUCCGUUGGUCAUCUCUCUGGACAGCGCUGGUCAUCUGAGGGCGUGAGCUAUACGUUACAGUGAAAAUCCGAUAUUGUCCGAAAUGGAUCGAGACGAGCUUAAGAUACAGGUGGAGAGUCUCAAGUUCCACCGUGACGUGGAACGGCUGAAGGUGUCCGAGGCGAUCAGGCAGUUACAAGCCUUCAUUGAAGAGAAUACACCGGAGGACGGUCUAGUUGUUACUCCAGAUAAGAAGAAAAAUCCCUGGACUGAGACUCGCAAGUGUGUGGUAUUGUAGUGACGUCACGCGCGUGUGGGCGCGUUCGAGGAGGAACAUCAUGCGUGUAUGUGUUUCUUCAGAAAAAAACUUGAAGCGACCGUGGGAUAUUCAAUGUACAUGAUAUCUAGUUCUCAGCAAACUAUGAACGACAUAAGUAAUACUCGUCCACUGAUAAUUUGUACCGAAAAUUAUUAUCAUUUUUUACUACAAAUAAUCAUUCCUGUUCCUAUGAAAUUCUCAGCAAUGUCGCAAAGGUCACGUGACAUGAUUAGUUGAUUGUCAUUCCUGAUGAAAUUUAAUAUAUUCCUUUUUAUAACUUAUUAUUUCGGAUGCGACAGAUUGGUGACAUUUACGGAUUGUGUAUAUGUAAAUAUGUACUUAAUUAGAUAAUUUAGUGUCAUAUAAUAUGUAGUUUAGUAGGUAAUCAAGCUUUUGCAUACCUCGUAUACGUGUAAACUUAGCAAUACUGAUAUACUAUGGCAUGUUUUCGAUAUCGCUGUAAUAUUUUAUGAAAGCUGUUCCGUCGAUAGACAGUCCAAUAUGGUUUAAUAGUUUUGACAGGACAAGCAGAUGCGUUCGAACAGCAGUGUGUACCUACAUUGUGUAAACUUCAGCCAUAAGUACAAUGACUAUCAAUCAUCCCAUGAGCUAGCGUGCUCCUUAUCGAACGCAUCGAUCUGCCCAUGACGUCACGCCACCGCUGGAAGUGAUGUUUUCUGCUUCUGGGAUUUCCGUUGGAAUAAAGAAAGAAGAGCAAAGCUCCAUACAGGCUGUGAAGUUUCACUGUUUCGGGUCUGGCUGAUGCGUUUAGUUUGUCUGUAUUGAGUCAGUCACGACUGCAUGACGUCAUUUAUUGUACAAGGUGGGAUCAUUAGUAAUUUAGAUACCGUGGUUAUAAAUAACGUACACGUAAUUCAAAUUUAGAGAAAAUAUAGUUAAAGUAAUCUAUAGAUUAUACUUUUGUAUACAAAUGAUGGAAAAUAAGAAAGUCUUGUGUACAUUGUAUGUGUAAUAUUGCAAUACCCAUUAUGGUAAAUACGGACUUCGUUCUUGUUGACGGUAAAAUUGAUUUUUUUAAUGUUGUAGUAUUUUAUAAAGAAUGCCUGUAGCAUGGCGUUGUCCUGGUGCCACAAUAAAGGUUUUAUAAGGUAUUUAAACCUUGUUAUACUGCCAUUACGUUCAAGCCUUUGUCAGAAGAAAAGAAAAAAAAACAUUUGAAAAUAGAUAUACAUUUAUCUGCGGUAAAGCGAGUUGGCAAAUGUAUUAUGAUAAAGACGAGUAUUUCAUAAUAGUUUUACAAAAAAUACCAUAUAAUGCACGUGGCAGCUAUUGCCUAGCACAAAAACAUGAUAUCAAGAUAAAGUGGCAUUAUAUUGAUGCUGAGAAGUUUCGAGUUUUUAAUGAUUAAUGCUGAAAUAUCGAGCUUUAGUGACGUUAUACGGAGUAUUCAGUAACAUCAAGGUUUAAGUGAUGUUUGAUCGAUGUUCAGUGACAAGAUAUCGAGGUUUUGCAUCAUUUUAUCGCGUUUAAAUGGCAAUGUAUCGAGAUUUUUAUGGCAAUAUACCGAGAAAAUUAAGUGGCAUUAUGUCGAUAUGUUAUUGGCAUUGUGUUUAGGUUGAAGUGGAGUUAUAUAAAGCUUUAUAUCGAUAUUUUAAGUGUCAUUAUGUCAAUAUCUCAAUGGCAUUGUAUCGAUAUUUUAGUAGCGUUAUAUCAAGAUUUGAGUGGCAUUAUGUGGAUAUUUUAGUGACAAUGUAUCGAUAUUUGAGUGGCAUUACGUCGAUAUUUGAGUGCAUUACGUCGAUAUUUUAGUGGCAUUACGUCGAUAUUUUAGUGGCAUUACGUCGAUAUUUUAGUGGCAUUAUAUCGAUAUUUUAGUGGCAUUAUAUCGAUAUUUUAGUGGCAUCGUAUCGAUAUUUUAGUGGCAUUACGUCAAAAUUGUAUUGGAAUUAUAUCGAUAUAUAAUUGGCAUUAUGUCGAUAUAUUAGUGUCAUUAUAUCAAUAUUUAAGUGGCAUUAUAUCGAUAUUUUAGUGGCUUUAUGUCGAUAUUUUAAUGGCAUUGUAUCGAGGUUUUAGUGGUACUUUAUCGUAUUCUAUAUCAAUGCAUCAUUUAUGGAAUACAUAGGUUUAAGUGACGUUGAAUUUGUGUAUUUUUAAUCAAUUUAGUGACAUCUAUGUUUCAUUGGCAUGAUAUUGUGUUGAGCGGCAUUAUAUGGAUUUUUUAGUGCUAUUAUACCAAAUUUGUAGUGGAUUUAAGUAGAGGAUUAACUACUGAAACGAGACAACCAUUUGAGAUACACGAUAUCUAUAACAGCUGAAUUUACUUACAUCAUGUGAAAACAGGUAUAAGAUGUAGUUUAAAUUCAAUGAUUACUUGACCACAGUUCAUACAAUCUUAUAUAGAGAAAUGCUUAAAAUAAUAAUGGUAUCUGAAUGUUACUAAUUUCUUUACAAAUGAAAUAAAGCAGGUUUAAAAUCAUUUAAAAAUUUAAGAAAAUACUUUCUAACGGAAUAAUUUAAGAUAAUUGACCAACUUAUUGCUGACAUUUUCUUCAACAUUUUCCGGAUUUGAAUCAAUUGCAAUAUCAUCAUAGUUGAAGGAGACUGAUAGUAUUCGCUAGCUGUAUGGAUAAUUUUUCAUAUAUGUAAUAAAAAUGCAAUUUUUUUUGUAUUUCUCACGUGUAUAACUCAACUUAAACUAUGAGAAAAUUACGAAGACUGUACAGCAGUGUUCUCCAGAUAUCCUUUAAGGCUAUGAAAAUAUGUAUGUUUGUUUACUGACACCCGACCGUCCCAAAUUUUAGGUGCCUGACCUAGAAUAUUGAUGCAUAUUGUUUGUGCCAUUAAGCCUGAAAUUAUGAUGAAAACAAAUAUCUGUCUACCGAUUCGAAUGUCCAACAUGAGACAAGUAAACAUUCAUAGUUCUUCAUUUCAUUUUUAUGAAUCUUACCAUAUUACAAUAUUCGAAUCUAGCUAGUUUAUAGAUAAUAUUUGAAAAGAUACAGAAACCGUGAUUUUAUCAAUUUUUGUGAAAAACUUCAGAAACGUUGUUAUUUUAAAUUCAAAUUUAGGUCGAGAACCCCAUUUCAUCUGUCUAGAUUUUCAAUUUACGUGCGGGAAAAUAAAACUAAUUAGAAAAUACUGCAAACGUACUUAAUUUGACACACCCAAAUUCGUAUUAAAACAGAUAAGCGGAACGAUGAAUUAGCCCAACAGCAAUGGUUGCCAUAGAAAUCAAUGAGAUAAACUACAAUUCGCACAAUAUUAAUUAACGGAAUGUUUCCAGCGCGAAAAAAAUGAUAAAAUAAGAUUAACGCUAAAAUAAGAUUACCGCAAAAAUAUGUACGUUUACAGUAAUGGUAAGAAUUUUUCCAAAAAUGCGAAGCCACUUAAAUGUAUUGCGUAUUAGUCGGAACAUGUAUACAAGUGAAUAGUUAGUACAGUGUUAGUGUCAACCUAUACUCAUACAAGCGGUUAAUCCUAAUCUUAUACUAGUAGGUGUGUGUAUGUAAUAUAGAUAAUAAAAACUAAAUCAGUUAUUGUUAAAACUAACAAUGCUUACCAAAUAUUGCUAUGGUAGAAAGUUAAGGGCAAUGCUUAAAAAAUCGCGAAAACUUUUUGUAUCAGCAAAUUUCAUUCUAAUGACUAAUGCGUACGUGUCAGUUCUACACGAGCUAAGAUUUUCUGGUUAAAUUUAUAAUGAUUCCUAUGCAAAAUAAUCAAUUCUGCAACAAAAUACGUCCGUUGGGUGGUACUCACCGGCCCGACCCUCCUGCACAAGAAACCCGACCCCCUGAGGAUAUCGUCGGGUCAGCACAGUACGCCACCAUCUCCGUAUGCACAAAAUGUAUCUACCUGUAUAUGUAUACGCCAUGUGAUGCAAUGACCGAAAAUAAAAAUACUGUUACCAAAUCUUUAAUA